AGGCCGACAGGCGUAGUCGAUGGAUAACGGGUUGAUAUUCCCGUACCCGUGUGUCCGCGCCCAUGGUGAAUCAGGGAUACUAACCCACCUGAACACGCGCCUUUUGCCAGCCUUUUAGGUUGGUUGGUGUGUGUGAUGCUGGGGACCUGAACUGGUAGUAGCCAAGUGAUGGGGUGACGCAGGAAGGUAGCCGUGCCACGUGAUGGAUAUCGUGGUGUAAGCGUGUGGCCCGUGUUCUAGGUAAAUCCGGAGCAUAUUGGGUGAGGCGUGAUGCGUACCCGUUUUGGGGAAGUUGGUGAUCCUAUGCUGCCGAGAAAAGCCUCUAGCGAUGUGGAUAUACGGCCCGUACCCGAAACCGACACAGGUAGUCAGGUAGAGAAUACUAAGGCGAUCGGGAGAACUGUGGUUAAGGAACUCGGCAAAAUGCCCCCGUAACUUUGGGAUAAGGGGGACCUGAGCUGUCGUGCACCCGUGCGGUGUGGUGGCGGUGAGGGGCGCAGAGUCCAGGGGGAAACGACUGUUUACCAAAAACACAGGUCCGUGCGAAGUCGUAAGACGAUGUAUACGGACUGACUCCUGCCCGGUGCUGGAAGGUUAAGGGGACCCGUUAGCUUCGGCGAAGCGGAGAACUUAAGCCCCAGUAAACGGCGGUGGUAACUAUAACCAUCCUAAGGUAGCGAAAUUCCUUGUCGGGUAAGUUCCGACCUGCACGAAUGGCAUAAUGAUGGCGGCGCUGUCUCCAGCAGAGACUCAGUGAAAUCGAAAUCGCAGUGAAGAUGCUGUGUACCCGCGGCUAGACGGAAAGACCCCAUGAACCUUUACUGUAGCUUUGCAUUGGACUGUGAACCGGUUUGUGUAGGAUAGGUGGGAGGCAAAGAAGUCGGGACGCCAGUUCCGAUGGAGCCGUCCUUGAAAUACCACCCUGAUCUGUUUGCGGUUCUAACUUAGGCUCGUGCACCGGGCCGGGGACCAUGCAUGGCAGGCAGUUUGACUGGGGCGGUCUCCUCCUAAAGAGUAACGGAGGAGUACGAAGGUGCGCUCAGAACGGUCGGAAAUCGUUCGAAGAGUAUAAAGGCAAAAGCGCGCUUAACUGCGAGACCCACAAGUCGAGCAGGUACGAAAGUAGGUCUUAGUGAUCCGGUGGUUCUGUAUGGAAGGGCCAUCGCUCAACGGAUAAAAGGUACUCCGGGGAUAACAGGCUGAUACCGCCCAAGAGUUCAUAUCGACGGCGGUGUUUGGCACCUCGAUGUCGGCUCAUCUCAUCCUGGGGCUGUAGCAGGUCCCAAGGGUAUGGCUGUUCGCCAUUUAAAGAGGUACGUGAGCUGGGUUUAAAACGUCGUGAGACAGUUUGGUCCCUAUCUGCCGUGGGCGUUGGAAGUUUGAGAGGGGCUGCGCCUAGUACGAGAGGACCGGCGUGGACGCACCACUGGUGUACCGGUUGUCACGCCCGUGGCAUUGCCGGGUAGCUAAGUGCGGAAGAGAUAACCGCUGAAAGCAUCUAAGCGGGAAACUCGCCUCAAGAUGAGACUUCCCUGACAUGAAAGUGUCCUGAAGGGCCGUCCGAGACUAGGACGUUGAUAGGCUGGGUGUGGAAGCGCAGUAAUGCGUGAAGCUAAUCAGUACUAAUUGCCCGUGCGGCUUGACCCU
rnacentral:rRNA from 1 species